UUUUAAAGAAAAGACCCGAACCUAAGUGAUCUAAAUAUGAGCAGGUUGAAGCUUCAUGAAAGUGAGGUGGAGGACUGAACCCACGAUUGUUGCAAUACUCGGGGAAGACUUGUGUUUAGGGGUGAAAGGCCAAACAAACUUAGAGCUAGCUGGUUUUCUCCGAAAUCUAUUGAGGUAGAGCCCU
rnacentral:rRNA from 1 species